rnacentral:rRNA from 1 species
GCCACGGCUAACUACGUGCCAGCAGCCGCGGUAAUACGUAGGUGGCAAGCGUUGUCCGGAAUUAUUGGGCGUAAAGCGCGCGCAGGCGGAUCUGCCAGUCUGUCUUAAAAGUUCGGGGCUUAACCCCGUGAUGGGAUGGAAACUACAGAUCUAGAGUAUCGGAGAGGAAAGUGGAAUUCCUAGUGUAGCGGUGAAAUGCGUAGAUAUUAGGAAGAACACCAGUGGCGAAGGCGACUUUCUGGACGAAAACUGACGCUGAGGCGCGAAAGCCAGGGGAGCGAACGGGAUUAGAUACCCCGGUAGUCCUGGCCGUAAACGAUGGGUACUAGGUGUAGGAGGUAUCGACCCCUUCUGUGCCGCAGUUAACGCAAUAAGUACCCCGCCUGGGGAGUACGACCGCAAGGUUGAAACUCAAAGGAAUUGACGGGGGCCCGCACAAGCGGUGGAGUAUGUGGUUUAAUUCGACGCAACGCGAAGAACCUUACCAGUCUUGA